rnacentral:rRNA from 1 species
UACAGAGGUCUCAAGCGUUGUUCGGAUUCAUUGGGCGUAAAGGGUGCGUAGGUGGCGUGGUAAGUCUGGUGUGAAAUCCCGGGGCUCAACCCCGGAACUGCACUGGAUACUGCCAUGCUUGAGUACUGGAGAGGAGAUUGGAAUUUACGGUGUAGCAGUGAAAUGCGUAGAUAUCGUAAGGAAGACCAGUGGCGAAGGCGAAUCUCUGGACAGUUUACUGACACUGAGGCACGAAAGGCCAGGGGAGCAAAACGGG